UGAGGUAACGGCCCACCAAGGCGACGAUCAGUAGCCGGCCUGAGAGGGUGACCGGCCACAUUGGGACUGAGACACGGCCCAGACUCCUACGGGAGGCAGCAGUGGGGAAUAUUGCACAAUGGAGGAAACUCUGAUGCAGCGACGCCGCGUGAGCGAAGAAGUAUCUCGGUAUGUAAACUUCUAUCAGCAGGGAAGAAAGUGACGGUACCUGACUAAGAAGCCCCGGCUAAUUAC
rnacentral:rRNA from 1 species